GGGGCAUCAGGAAGAAAGCUUGCUUUCUUUGCUGGCGACCGGCGCACGGGUGAGUAACACGUAUCCAACCUGCCCUUUACUCGGGGAUAGCCUUUCGAAAGAAAGAUUAAUACCCGAUAGCAUAAUGAUUCCGCAUGGUUUCAUUAUUAAAGGAUUCCGGUAAAGGAUGGGGAUGCGUUCCAUUAGGUUGUUGGUGAGGUAACGGCUCACCAAGCCUUCGAUGGAUAGGGGUUCUGAGAGGAAGGUCCCCCACAUUGGAACUGAGACACGGUCCAAACUCCUACGGGAGGCAGCAGUGAGGAAUAUUGGUCAAUGGGCGUUAGCCUGAACCAGCCAAGUAGCGUGAAGGAUGAAGGCUCUAUGGGUCGUAAACUUCUUUUAUAUAAGAAUAAAGUGCAG
rnacentral:rRNA from 1 species